rnacentral:rRNA from 1 species
CCUACGGGCGGCAGCAGUGGGGAAUAUUGCACAAUGGGGGAAACCCUGAUGCAGCGACGCCGCGUGAGUGAAGAAGUAAUUCGGUAUGGAAAGCUCUAUCAGCAGGGAAGAAAAUGACGGUACCUGAGUAAGAAGCCCCGGCUAACUACGUGCCAGCAGCCGCGGUAAUACGUAGGGGGCAAGGGUUAUCCGGAUUUACUGGGUGUAAAGGGAGCGUAGACGGGUGUGCAAGUCUGGAGUGAAAGGCGGGGGCUCAACCCCCGGACUGGUCUGGAAACUGUACGUCUUGAGUGCAGGGGAGGUAAGUGGAAUUCCUAGUGUAGCGGUGAAAUGCGUAGAUAUUAGGAGGAACACCAGUGGCGAAGGCAGCUUACUGAACUGUAACUGACGUUGAGGCUCGAAAGCGUGGGGAGCAAACAGGAUUAGAUACCCUUGUAGUC